UAAGGACCCUCUCCGCGCCCUUCACGGCGCUGGCUGCUGUCCCGCCGCAGCUGGGCGGCUCCGCCCGGCUGUGCGGUGCGCUCGUAACGCUCCAGAGCACGAGUGUUAAUAGAAAACCCGAGUUCCAGAAGAGAAGAGAGGGGAUGCUGCCCGGGUGAAGAAGCACGCACCGAAUUUACAGCUCUGAGCGCGUUGUGGGGGUGUGUGUGUGUUUAUUGGCACAGGCAAAGGCAGGCAGCAAACAGCCUGGGUUCCUGCUGGACUUCUGCUCUCCUCACGGAGAAGAGAUUUAAUCCACAAACACGAGCAGAGUGCGGGAGAAACUUACAGUCAUGUGAAAUAUAUUUGCAGCCUGAGGGGCUAGGCCAGGACACAGCACACUUGUUACACUCGCGGCGCUCAUGGUCCUCCUAGAGCUACAAUGUGGGCCAGGAGGGCUGGGAGCUUUGGGGCAGCUCACCCAUCAGCCUGCACUUGCCAUGUGCUACAAAGGGAUCCCCACUGGAAGCAGCUAGCCUGUCCCCCUGGGAUCCGCAAUCACACAGCGCAUCUGGACCAAGGCAGAGCAUGUGGUCUAUGAACGUGUUCUGGAUUCUCAAGGGAAGGGGCAAUCUUUUCUUCAUGUUCUCUCUCCUGAAGGCCAGCAGGAUUUCCUGGAACAAGAAUCAUGCAAGAGAACCUAAAAAUCUCCAGUGCUUUGGGUGUCUUUCGUAGGAUUUGGAAUAUUUAAACCUCCAAUUAGAGCUGCCAAAAUAAAAAGCAUUAUUGGAUACAAGGACUUAUAACAAGAUUCAACGUGCUGUGGGAAAUGCUUUAAAGGUGACCUGCAAAUCCUCUUUAAUUGCUUUGCUGUUGCAAGCAAUGCUGUGUGCCCUCAAUAACAGGGCUGGUGAGGACAUCUG